CAGCCGCCGCAGUAAUACGUAGGGUGCAAGCGUUAAUCGGAAUUACUGGGCGUAAAGCGUGCGCAGGCGGUUCGGAAAGAAAGAUGUGAAAUCCCAGAGCUUAACUUUGGAACUGCAUUUUUAACUACCGGGCUAGAGUGUGUCAGAGGGAGGUGGAAUUCCGCGUGUAGCAGUGAAAUGCGUAGAUAUGCGGAGGAACACCGAUGGCGAAGGCAGCCUCCUGGGAUAACACUGACGCUCAUGCACGAAAGCGUGGGGAGCAAACAGGAUUAGAUACCCUGGUAGUCCACGCCCUAAACGAUGUCAACUAGCUGUUGGGGCCUUCGGGCCUUGGUAGCGCAGCUAACGCGUGAAGUUGACCGCCUGGGGAGUACGGUCGCAAGAUUAAAACUUAAAGGAAUUGGCGGG
rnacentral:rRNA from 1 species